UGCCACAGCCAUAUCACCCUACAGCCCAAGACCGGUUACUCACUAAAGCUAAGCAGGGCUGAGCCUGGUCAAUACCUGGAUGCGAGACCACAUGAGAAAACUAGGUUGCUGUUGAAC
rnacentral:rRNA from 1 species